UGCUUUGUUAUAAUGUUUUAAUUAAUAUUCCAGUUCGCAGGUGUAUUGUGUUUUCUGCUUAUCAUGUCCUUAUCGCCCAGCUACCGCUACAAGCCACGCAAUAUUGGUCAUAAAUUUAGUGUCCGUUUAGUGUGCCUAAAGUAGUCGAAAUAUUCGUGCGCAUGUAGAUAGAAAACAAAAAAUAAUAUGUAAUAACAAUAUACUUUGAAUUGAAUUGGAUUGCAAUUUAAUAUUAAAAUGAAGUUUACAUCAUGGAUUUAUUUAUUAAAUAUAUUUAUUGCUCUAGUAUAUAUUCAGACACUUGAAAAACGUGAAUAUUACCAAUGGACAUUCGACAUAAAACGCGGCAUCCGCAAGCGUCGAAAAUGGACGAUCGACGAGCGCAUAAUCCUCGCACCUAAACUACUCGCGGAAUUAUCCAACGACAUGGUGAAACUCACCGGCAUCAACCGGCAAAUCUACCUGAACAUGUUCGUCCUCAACCGGUGGAACCCUCUGGAGAAUAUGGACGCCAUUACGGACUUCUUCAUCACCGGCAGCCGCGUGGAGUACACGAAAAACGAACUCAUCAAUGUGCUUCUCUUUAAUGAUAUUACAAACAACGAUUGAAUAUAUUUAUCAUCAUCAAUAUAUUUGUACAAUCUUUGGAUCAAUAUUUGAGCAUUUUUAGAAUAUAUCGACUAAUUUAUCGAACAA